UCUCCUACCAGAUUAUUAGGGGCCCUCUGGCUACGGGGCUAAAGUUAAGCCUCCCUUUCCUUUACAAGUGACUGAAAUGGCAGCAAAACUUGCUCCAACCCCAAAUGGCACUGAGGGCCUUUGGGAUGUUUCCAGAUUUGGGAGAUACAGAUGCUGCUCUGAACACUCAGAAUUGCCUGGAGAAAGUGCUGAAUGUCACGUCUUUUGUUUUGGGUGAAUUAUCAAGAGUGCGAUUUCUGUGGUGCAACUUUCCAAGCUGCCGCAGGAACAGUUCCUGAGUGCUGUGGCCUCGCGUGUCCCAGGUCCGCGCGGCGGGGUCCGCAUCCUCACCAGGAAAAUUCAUGUGCUACAGUUAGCCAUUAUGAGGCGUAUAGGCCAGUGCGUGUGGUGUGUUCAGUGCUGGGCAGUCACACUCACACCCCCAACACCUCGGGCCCAUGAAGAAAUCCCUGCCGUUUCCUCCGUCUCCAGGGAACCGCCGAGCUGCACACUCAGUGGGCUGCAGUGUAAGCUGGUAACUGCACUGGGAAAUCAGGACACUGGGGCUCAAGGAACUCAGUACUUUAAGAUUUCAAAUCUUUGCACACAGACCACCACUAUGCCUCUGGAUAGUGGCGGUUGGGACUGAAGAUUCACUUAUCUCCCGUGUCACAGAGCACGGACUUCCAAAUCCUGGCACCACCCCACCGCUGACCACGGCUCCCGGCUACACUGGUUCCAGUGGAGGACGAGGGGCGGUGUAUUUACGGAGCUCAGCUGUCUGCGUGAGGACCCUGCCACCAGAUCAGCGCCAGCACGCAGACACCCGGAAUGUACCACGCCUUGUAGGCCACGUGUGAGCUUCCCUUUUGUAUUUUUGUGUGGUUCAGGGCAAAGCUGCAGAAAUGA